UACGUAGGGUGCGAGCGUUGUCCGGAAUUAUUGGGCGUAAAGAGCUUGUAGGUGGUUUGUCGCGUCUGCUGUGAAAAUCCGAGGCUCAACCUCGGACUUGCAGUGGGUACGGCAGACUAGAGUGUGGUAGGAGACUGGAAUUCCUGGUGUAGCGGUGGAAUGCGCAGAUAUCAGGAGGAACACCGAUGGCGGAAGGCAGG
rnacentral:rRNA from 1 species